UCUUCUUUUGAUUUGUCGGGGCCAAAUGUAAUUUACCCAAUUUGGUUACUUCUAAUAAAUGUCUGUAUUGUUUUGAAAUAUGUACUUCCUGUAGAUAUGUAAUGUCUGCAUUUUGGUUUGAAUUUCCUGAACAUUUGUUUCCUUUCAGAUGGCGAAUUAAGUCCAUUUAUAUUGAGCAAUAGAAGGGUGAUCCCUCCAUCAAUUUUAUUGUUGGUACUCUACUACUCUUGUUCUCAAUUCUCUCCUCAAUCGUUUGUUUUCUUCCUCUUCCUGUUGUUUCUGUUCUGUUCCUUCUCUUUCUAUUUCCUUGUCUUCUACUGUAGUCUCCUCUAGGCUUCUACUUUCUGUGUCUUCCUUGCUUUCUUGUUCUUCCUCCAUUCUCACAUAUCAUCUAUAGAAUUCAUGUGCCUUGUCAAUGAAAUUAAUUUUA